GCUUUGCAGAUAGAAGACGGCUCAACAGGGCCCGUAAAACCAAAAUGUACCGGGCGUCCCUCGCUUUAUGGCCGAGAGGGGCUUGGGCCCAAGGCGCAAAAUCAUAACGGUCGAACGAAACCAUUAUCAUAACCUCCAAACAGAUAGCCGUUUAUUCCCGUCUUUUCUACGCGUAAUCCACCUUUUUUGAGGAUUUGAUGGCAGAACAUGGAUUGAAGUUAAAGGACAUUAUGAUAGAGAUAGUAAAAUGUGCUCGAGUUGAAAGCCAGAAAAGAAAGAAGUUUGAGGUAUAAGGAAUGUAUCAAUGCGUAAAUCGCAAGAAACGAAUAAAAACUUUGUAAACUUAAGUUAUUCACUAAUCACUGUACUUACAUCUAAAGCGCCUAUGCUUUAUAAACUGUUACUUGAAGCACAAAAUUGAAUAACUUAGCUUAGUAAAAACCUAGUAAUCAGUCUUGCACCUAAAAUUUGUCCAGAUAUUUAUUUUGAAUAUCUAAUGUUACUGUAGUUGGUUUUUGUCCGUAUAUUCUGAUCACAGUAAACCCUGCAUAUGAAGAACCUAGUUAUCUUUUCAAGCUAGCCUACCAGGUUCAAAUUUAAAUGGUGCAUAUAGAGGCAUUAGGUUUCUAGCUUCUUAUCUGAAUAUACAAAGAUGGAGGAGGAGGCAGUUCUUUUGGAAAACCGUAAUGACGCCAAAAAGGGUAAUGUUCAAAAGCUGUUAAAGUUGUUAUAGA